rnacentral:rRNA from 1 species
AUUGAACGCUGGCGGCAGGCCUAACACAUGCAAGUCGAACGGUAACAGGAAGAAGCUUGCUUCUUUGCUGACGAGUGGCGGACGGGUGAGUAAUGUCUGGGAAACUGCCUGAUGGAGGGGGGUAACUACUGGAAACGGUAGCUAAUACCGCAUAACGUCGCAAGACCAAAGAGGGGGACCUUCGGGCCUCUUGCCAUCGGAUGUGCCCAGAUGGGAUUAGCUAGUAGGUGGGGUAACGGCUCACCUAGGCGACGAUCCCUAGCUGGUCUGAGAGGAUGACCAGCCACACUGGAACUGAGACACGGUCCAGACUCCUACGGGAGGCAGCAGUGGGGAAUAUUGCACAAUGGGCGCAAGCCUGAUGCAGCCAUGCCGCGUGUAUGAAGAAGGCCUUCGGGUUGUAAAGUACUUUCAGCGGGGAGGAAGGGAGUAAAGUUAAUACCUUUGCUCAUUGACGUUACCCGCAGAAGAAGCACCGGCUAACUCCGUG